rnacentral:rRNA from 1 species
GAUCGCUGGCCCUCCGUGGCGGCGACGUCUCAUUCGAAUGUCUGCCCUAUCAACUUUCGAUGGUACUUUACGUGCCUACCAUGGUGACCACGGGUAACGGGGAAUCAGGGUUCGAUUCCGGAGAGGGAGCCUGAGAAACGGCUACCACAUCCAAGGAAGGCAGCAGGCGCGCAAAUUACCCACUCCCGACUCGGGGAGGUAGUGACGAAAAAUAACAAUACAGGACUCUUUCGAGGCCCUGUAAUUGGAAUGAGUACA